rnacentral:rRNA from 1 species
GAUGAACGCUGGCGGCGUGCCUAAUACAUGCAAGUCGAACGAAACUUCUUUAUCACCGAGUGCUUGCACUCACCGAUAAAGAGUUGAGUGGCGAACGGGUGAGUAACACGUGGGCAACCUGCCCAAAAGAGGGGGAUAACACUUGGAAACAGGUGCUAAUACCGCAUAACCAUAGUUACCGCAUGGUAACUAUGUAAAAGGUGGCUAUACUACCGCUUUUGGAUGGGCCCGCGGCGCAUUAGCUAGUUGGUAGGGUAAAGGCUUACCAAGGCAAUGAUGCGUAGCCGAAUUGAGAGGUUGAUCAGCCACAUUGGGACUGAGACACGGCCCAAACUCCUACGGGAGGCAGCAGUAGGGAAUCUUCCACAAUGGGCGAAAGCCUGAUGGAGCAACGCCGCGUGGGUGAAGAAGGUCUUCGGAUCGUAAAACCCUGUUGUUAGAGAAGAAAGUGCGUGAGAGUAACUGUUCACGUUUCGACGGUAUCUAACCAGAAAGCCACGGCUAACUACGUG